AGGAAAAGAAACCAACAGGGAUUGCCUCAGUAACGGCGAGUGAAGCGGCAAGAGCUCAAAUUUGAAAGCUGGCUCCUUCGGGGUCCGCAUUGUAAUUUGCAGAGGAUGUUUCGGGAGCGGCCCCCAUCUAAGUGCCCUGGAACGGGCCGUCAUAGAGGGUGAGAAUCCCGUAUGGGAUGGGGUGCCCGCGACCAUGUGAAGCUCCUUCGACGAGUCGAGUUGUUUGGGAAUGCAGCUCUAAAUGGGUGGUAAAUUUCAUCUAAAGCUAAAUAUUGGCCGGAGACCGAUAGCGCACAAGUAGAGUGAUCGAAAGAUGAAAAGCACUUUGAAAAGAGAGUUAAAAAGCACGUGAAAUUGUUGAAAGGGAAGCGCUUGCGACCAGACUCGCCCGCGGGGUUCAACCGGUAUUCAUACCGGAGUCCUUCCCCCUGUGAGGGCCCGCUCCGGGUUGGGCGGCCGGUCAAAGGUCCUCAAAAUGCAUCUGCUCUCUACAAUGCUUAUACCCAAGGAUGCCAUGUUCCCAUUCCAGAUCUAGGAACUUCCUUCGCCUCGGACGAUGGCAUACUGGUCGGAUU
rnacentral:rRNA from 1 species